rnacentral:misc_RNA from 1 species
AUGCAUUCGGUCGAUUUUAGCAGUAUUGCCAAUUUGAAGGAUUCACUUGCCAACUCGAAUUCUUUCAAAAUUCGACCGGCGAAAGAUGGAGUAGCACACGGAUUUUCUGUGCAUUUCACAUCUGAUCUAACUGGUCACGGAUUAAAGGAUUAAAGGAUUAAAGGACGAUCCGUUCUUCAAGUGCUAUGCACUGCGGACAAUAUCAUUGACUCGUCGAAAUUAAGGGCAUGGGAUCUUGGAAUUAUUCCAUUCAAGGAACCAUGUUUGGUGAAGUGUGAUAAAGAAUAUGAAGGAUCAUGGAAACUCUUGAAUAAUCGAUUGGAUGUGUACAAUGAUUUUUACGACGAAAAUCUUCAAAAACACGAGGACAGUCUUCGCUACGAGACCGCUUCAAUGGAUCAACUUCAGAAAAUCCGUGAUGAUAGUUAUUUCAAGGCAAUGAUGGGAGAAAUUGAUCCGAUUGAACUUCCAUUUACUCGUGAUAUUUCAUCGAGUAUUCCAGCUCAGUGUGUAUUAAAUACUGUGGAAAGCCAAACGCCUAUAAGGCAUCUUAUUAAUGCCGACUGAAGUUCGUGGAAGAAGAAAUCGAAGAGAUUCCCCAAACUCAAGGACCCUCCAAGGCCCCCGAGCUUCCCCGAGCCACGAGCCCCACGCUCCCGAGCCAUGAGCAAAGCAAGAGAAAUGGAGAUUCGAGUGAUGACGAUGAGUCCAACGAGGAUGAGGACGAAUAAUAAUUAG